UACGUAGGGUCCGAGCGUUGUCCGGAAUUAUUGGGCGUAAAGGGCUCGUAGGCGGUCUGUUGCGUCGGGAGUGAAAACUUACAGCUUAACUGUGAGCGUGCUUCCGAUACGGGCAGACUUGAGGUAUUCAGGGGAGAACGGAAUUCCCGGUGUAGCGGUAAUAUGCGUAGAUAUCGGGAGGAACACCAGUGGCGAAGGCGGCUGCCCUGGGGGUAUUGCUGACGCUGAAGAACGAAGGCCAGGGGAGCGAACGGGG
rnacentral:rRNA from 1 species